CCCGCCCCCUGGCCGGGUGCGCGCGGCGCCUUUAAGGCUCGUGGGUUUCUGUUUCGCUCCGCAGGCGCGGGGGCUGCGCGGCCGCCGCCAUCAUGGAGCCGCAGCCCGACAGCCUGGAGGGGUGGGUGGCCGUGCGCGACACCGCCUUCGCCGAGCCUCAGCCGCCGCGGCUCCGCUUCCUCGUGGCCUGGAACGGCGUGGAGGGCGCGUUCGCCGUGACCUGCCACGGCCGGGCGGAGGCGGCGGGGCAGGCCUCGCAGAGCUGGGCCGGCCUCUUCUCGGCGCCGGCCCUGCGCGGCGUCCACCGGCAGCUGGCGGCCGUCUGUCCGCGCCUGGAGCCCGCCUUCCCCGCGCUGCCGCCCGCGCUGCCCGGCGCCUCCGGCGGCGGAGGGCUUUGGGCCGUGCUGUUCCCCGGCGGCGCGGCGCCGGGCGAGGCCGAGGUGCAGGAGCUGUGCCGGGAGCUGGAGCUCUACCUGGGCUGGGCCCUGGAGCUCUGCGGUGGCCGCGUGGUGCUGGACGCCCUCUUCGCCGCCGACCGCCACCGCGACGACGAGUACUUCGAGAGCCUCCACGAGCUGCGCGGGAGGGCCCUGCGCGGCCACCUGGCCCGGGCCAAGGAGGCCCUGCGGCGGGUUCUUCAGAAGCAUAAAAAUGCUGACACAAUGGUGGCUUUGAUGAAGGUUUAUGAAGAAGAAGACGAAGCUUAUCAGGAUUUGGUCACCAUGGCAACACAAUUCUACCAGUAUUUACUGCAGCCCUUUAGAGAUAUGCGAGAGCUGGCAACACUGUACAAACUGGAAAUCCUGAAAUCUUUGCAGUAUGAUAAUUUGGGGCCUAAAAGAGUAGCAGCUUUGCAGAAAGAUGCCGAAGAAUGGACUAAACGAGCUGAGAAUGCUGUGUGCUCCAUUCAGGAUAUCACUGUGAACUACUUCAAGGAAACUGUAAAGGCUCUGGCAGCAAUGCACAGACAGAUGGAACAAGAUCAGGAAAGAUUUGGUAAAACCACCUGGGCAUCAGCUUUGCCACGACUAGAAAACCUGAAAUGCAUGUUAGCUAAAGAAACCCUUCAGCAUCUGAGGGCAAGAGAGUUGUGCCUGAAACAGAAGAGAGCUGGCUUUCAGAAAAAUAUGGAGAAUCUCAGUGAACAAGAAGAGAACUUAACUGUAGUGGAGGAGCUGGAAAUACAGUAUUAUGAAACGCAGCUGGAAUUAUAUAAUGUACAGCUUGAAGUAUUGAAACAUGAAGAGAUGCUGCUUAUUGUACAGUUGGACACUUUAAGGAGACAGAUUAAAGAGAAACAGGAUGAAGUUGUUUACUAUGAUACAUGUGAAAAUCCUGAGGAGCUCAAGGUCAUUGAACAGACAAUGGGACAACAUUACGCUAACUUGUCAGAAAUGACGAUGCUGAGGCAGAAGACUAAGCAGUUGGAGACAAAGCGUGGGACUGUCUGUGCGAGAAGAGCCUACCUCAGGAACAAAAAAGAUCAAUGUGAAGCAAGCCAUCGGCAGAGACUGCAACAGGCAGAAGAGAGCAAAAAACGCUUCCAGCAGCAUCACAGCAUACAGAUAAAGAGAGACAAGCAAAAAGAGGAGGAAAAAAAGAAAAAAGCUUGGAUAAGCCAGGAACGUCAGAAAACACUGGAGAGGCUGAAAACAUUCAGGGAGAAGUGUCCAGCUCAUGUUGUUGUGAAAACAUCUCAUUCCCAGCAUCUCAGUCCCAAGUUGCCACGAAACAUCACUCAGCAGGUUGCAGUACUGUCCCCACUACCUUCGUCGAGAGCAAGGGCAGCUCUAGAGCAGCCAAAGAGCAUACUGCUAGUAGAAGCCAAAGAAUUAAAAGCUUCACAUCAGAAUACCCCAGCAGAUAUCCCUGUCCAGGUUUUUGUUACUGAUGGUGACACAGAGCAACAAAAACAUAGCGAGGCACUGAUGGUCUCUCCAUCCUCACCACCACCACCACCACCACCACCUCCUCCACCCCCUCCUCCUUUACCCUCUCCUCCCCCAUGUCCCCCCUUACCUCUCCAGUUAAAGACAACAUUGGCAGCGGAGGAUAAGCCACUUCCCCUUAGCUCUGAUAGCCCCACAGAAAGCUCUGCACUGCACAAACAGGAUGACUCAUCCAGGAGGUCUAUAAAUAAUUACAUAGGUAAGAAGGCUGACAUCGACUGGUGGUUUUUUGUUUCCUCUAUUUUUCUGUUCUCCCUCCCUCUGGUUCCGGACAGGAAUAGUGUGCAGCCUUGCUCAAGAGAAUGAAGCUCUUGGAAAGCUUAGUAAGCUUUCAAGUAAGAAACCACAUACAGUAACACUGACCAUAACUCAGGAUGUUAAAUGAGUAACGGUGAUUUGUUGUAUCCCGUUUGAUACACUUCACAGGGUCCUGAUGCUCAAGAGUGUGUGAGUCGGCGAUUUUGGUGAAGUGCUGUCAAUUGGGCCAGGUCAAUCUUUUAGGACAUUUGAACUUGAAUAUCUGCUGGAAUCCUACAUUUAUUAAGUACAGCCUUACAAGUUAGUUUAAGCCAUGCUUAAUCACAGCACUACUAGGUCUGUGGAGAUCUCAAUUCAGGACCUGCAUUUCUCAUGACACUAAAAAUCCCACUGCUGUAAUAGGUAGGAAUGUGUCAGAAGAAAUUCCAAGGAGAAGGAGUUUAUUCAUGUUGUUUGGUGAGAAGCAACUUUUAUUACCAGGUUUGUUCUUGCCACAGUUUUGUAACUUUUGAACUGAAUGUGGUAUUUUGAUUGAGAAUUAAUCACCUGUCCAGUCAGAAGACCACUGUGGGUAGAUUUGUGGUUGUACUAAGUAAUCACUUCAGUGUUUGUGAUUCAUGUACUACGGAGCUAGCAGUUGGGCUGCUUGUGUUUCUAAGGUAUGCACAACCUGUGUCCACUUACAAUUUGCUUGGUUACUAAAUAAAGGUUUCUUAAGAGAAUUCAUGCAGAAUUCAACCAGGAUUUGAAAGGCAGAUGGAUAGCUUUGGCAUACUAACAUUCCUAGGGCAAACAUUCUGCUCUGUUACACCUCUGCUUUGUUAGCAAGAUCAUGCAGGUGUAAUUGAAGGCUGAACUCUGCAAUUGACACAGUAGUUUGAAUGAGAAUAGAGCUCAGCAGCCUGCCAAGGCUUCACUGGUUACAUCCUGCUAACAGGCUUAUUUUUGUCUCUAAAGCAAGCAGAUACUUUGACUAUGUCAGGGAGAUUGAUCUAAGUUGGAAGGCAGCAAUUUUUUAUUGUCAUUUUUCAUAGUGGAGCUUAUGCUAGAAUGAAGCAUGUCUCUAAAUGUGGUACAUUCCUUUUCCUUUUCAGACUGUUCACAAUACAUCUAAGCAGCCUUUGUAUCCUCUCAGUUAAGAGGCAAACCACAGGCAGAAAUACCAAGGAAAGUUCAGCAUUUUCAGUUCUUCCAAGGUGUGGGGAAGUACAAGCAGCUGAAGGGCUGAGAUGCAGUUGAGUUACCAUGGUGAACUACUGUGCUUCCAGUGGAUCAGCGUGCGGACUUCAGUCUAGGAGGUUCCAUGGAUGAGGUUUUGGCUUCACUAAAACGUGGUGAAGUUCAUCUUCGCAAAGUGGAACAGCCAAAUCCGUAUGCCUCUGUAAAAGACAACAUCCUCUCUGCCAUAAGGCAAGGAGUUAAACUAAGAAAAGUGAACCGAGAUACUGAGAAAGAUGUCACUAAAGGAUCCACUAAUGAGCUAGAGAGAAGCAUUAAGGCAGUC